rnacentral:rRNA from 1 species
GUCCACGCUGUAAAACGUUGGGCGCUAGGUGUGGGGGGCCUCUCCGGUUCUCUGUGCCGCAGCUAACGCAUUAAGCGCCCCGCCUGGGGAGUACGGCCGCAAGGCUAAAACUCAAAGGAAUUGACGGGGGCCCGCACAAGCGGCGGAGCAUGCGGAUUAAUUCGAUGCAACGCGAAGAACCUUACCUGGGUUUGACAUGGCCGCAAAACUUGCAGAGAUGUAAGGUCCUUCGGGGGCGGUCACAGGUGGUGCAUGGCUGUCGU